GUAAUAUAUCGGAACGUGCCCAGUCGUGGGGGGUAACGUAGCGAAAGUUACGCUAAUACCGCAUACGAUCUAUGGAUGAAAGCGGGGGACCGUAAGGCCUCGCGCGAUUGGAGCGGCCGAUAUCAGAUUAGGUAGUUGGUGGGGUAAAGGCUCACCAAGCCAACGAUCUGUAGCUGGUCUGAGAGAACGACCAGCCACACUGGAACUGAGACACGGUCCAGACUCCUACGGGAGGCAGCAGUGGGGAAUUUUGGACAAUGGACGCAAGUCUGAUCCAGCCAUUCCGCGUGCAGGAUGAAGGCCCUCGGGUUGUAAACUGCUUUUGUACGGAACGAAAAGGUCUCUAUUAAUACUAGGGGCUCAUGACGGUACCGUAAGAAUAAGCACCGGCUAACUACGUGCCAGCAGCCGCGGUAAUACGUAGGGUGCAAGCGUUAAUCGGAAUUACUGGGCAUAAAGCGUGCGCAGGCGGUUAUGUAAGACAGAGGUGAAAUCCCCGGGCUCAACCUGGGAACUGCCUUUGUGACUGCAUAGCUAGAGUACGGUAGAGGGGGAUGGAAUUCCGCGUGUAGCAGUGAAAUGCGUAGAUAUGCGGAGGAACACCGAUGGCGAAGGCAAUCCCCUGGACCUGUACUGACGCUCAUGCA
rnacentral:rRNA from 1 species